rnacentral:miRNA from 1 species
AGGGAAGGAGGCUUGGUCUUAG